GGGAAGGGAGGGACGGAAGGGCCGGGGGUGGGGAAGGGGGAGGAGAGAUAGAGUGUGAGAAAGAGAAAGAAGACGCUUAGCUCCCUAUUCCUCCUGUGGUGGGCCCAGCACCUCACAUUGCAUAACUAGGAUGUGAAAUAAAUGUUUAUGGAAAUGUUGAACAUUGAUGAUGUGGAGAAAUGUACCUGGUCAAGCAAACAACCAAAUAUGGAAAAUAAAGAAGGCAGGUAAAUUGACCCAAGCUCACAUGACAGAGAUGGAAUCCAGAUCUCCAGAUUACCAAUGCCGUCAUUUCCACACUAAUCUCCAUGGCCUUGAGA